UUUUGGCUGCUGCAACGUAGAGGUGCUGGAACGUUGGAUAUAGCAACCCUUUUCUUUGAACAUUUGGAGAACCACAAAUGGAGGGCUAUGGCUGAACGUUACAUUCAUUAGUUCCUCUUCUUUUUUUUUUUUUUUUUAUCUUGGUGAACACACGGACAAGUUUCAUUCUCGGGUGCUGGAACAUUUAAAAAAAAAGGGGCUGCAACGUGAUCAGCUAGCUGAGUGUCACAGUGAAGGAUUUUUUUUAUAUUCAACUUUCUGUUAGAAGAUUGGAGGCAUUGAUUGAAGAAAGAAUAGUAGCGCUGCUGCAGCCACCACCUAGGAAAGCACACUUUCAUUUUAUAUUUCAUUUAGUAAUAGUUGUACGCACACUUGAGAUUUUUGAGGUUUUUACUAGAGCAUUUUUUUUCUUUGGUUUGGAGAAUGUGAUGCACGGCUUUUUCAUGGAAGGAGCUGCUGCAAGUGGUUAUUUUAUUUUAGAAUAUAGCAUUCAUUUCAAUUGCUAGCAUUUGGAAGCUAGUGCUACAUCCAGCAAGGUAGUUGUAGGUGCUAAUUUCAAUAGUAGUAGACGUAUGGUGAUGAAUUCCAUUUCCAAUUAGAGGAGAAAGUCACGGCUUUGGGAUGGGGAUUUGGUUUCAAUAAGCAUUUCACUUUCUAGCUUAAUAGCUUUUUUAAUAGCAUUAAUUGCAAGUCAUUUCUCUGUUCUACUCAAUUGAUUCAAGCACUUUUUGCAUGGAAGUUUGAUUCACGCUAGUACGGUCUUGUAUGAGGAAAAUUCAUUUAUGCUUAAAUUGAAUUUGGAAGCUCAUGGUGUG
rnacentral:lncRNA from 1 species